GUCCGACAGCUAAAAACUGCUUGGCUCCUCUGGGUUUGGUAUCUUGUUCUGGGGUACAGGUGGAGCCUACAGCCUCCUGACCACCAUCAUGCAGCCAGAACCGGUUGGCUUCACAUGUGACCUGGGUCUGACAGAGAACCCAGGAAGGAACCCACAGCUCCUGUAAGUGACCAAUGUCUGAUGAACCUAGGAAGCCCUAAAAAUGAUACACAGGUUCAGAGCCAGGCACCUCCUCCUUCGGCA